rnacentral:rRNA from 1 species
UACGAAGGGGGCUAGCGUUGUUCGGAAUUACUGGGCGUAAAGCGUACGCAGGCGGCUUGACAAGUCAGAGGUGAAAUCCCAGAGCUUAACUCUGGAACUGCCUUUGAAACUGUCAAGCUAGAGACCGAGAGAGGAUGGUGGAAUUCCUAGUGUAGAGGUGAAAUUCGUAGAUAUUAGGAGGAACACCGGUGGCGAAGGCGGCCAUCUGGCUCGGUACUGACGCUCAUGUACGAAAGCGUGGGGAGCAAAC